CUAGCUGAUGCUGCAUGUCCAGCACAUAUUGCUGGCGGUCUCGCUCCAUGGCUUCCCCCAGUCCAGGACCCAGGCUGACAGAUUCUCUAGCAUUUGAGAUGUCUCCAGACUCACACAGCACCAUGAAGAGAACUUGGAAAAUCACAAAAUGGCUCUUAAAUAUUUUUGUCCAUAGCAUCAUCUCGGCUCACCUUUCACGGCCACACGUAAUUUCAGAUGUGCCGAGGGUUCCUCUCCCAUGUGCUCCAAACAGAGUGGGAUUGGAUAUCAAUGAGCACAGUCGUGUUUACCACACCAAUUACAGCUCCCCAGCCUCGACUGCUUUGUGCCUUUAUCCUGGUUUAUGAGAUUCCCUGUCAGCAUCUGGAAUAGGUCGAAGUCUCAUUUCACUUGACCUUGCCUCCAACUCGAUACCAUCUCUCAUAUCAUCUGAAACCUGUGGGAAUGAAGGAAGCUUCUCAACAGUACAAAUGUGCUCCUUCAGACUUCAGGCUUUCUUCAGCAGGAGCCUUUGGUUUUGUGGAGAGGAAGCUUGUUUUUCCUUCCAAGUUCUGUCUCACCCAGCCCCCACCUGGGUCUAAUUGUAAAAUGCAUCUGCAUGUUUUAAAAGCUCAUUAUGUAAAUGUAUCAGAGCCCAUAUCCAUCAACAGAUAAUUAAGAGGCUAUAUACAUAUUUAUGAGUUGGCUUAAUGUUGCCUUAAUGAGGAGGUUUACUGGAAAUACCAAAUCAAGGAGGCAAGAAGAAAAAUGGUCAUACCGAAGAAGAGCACACAUUUUCAGCAGUUCUUGGCAGUCCUGAGAACGAUGGGAACACUCAAAGAGCACCUCAGACUCCCUAUCAGCCAAAAAUGGGAGGGGGAAGCUGGGAAAGAAGGAGAUGACGUCACUCAGCCCUUUUUUGAAAAUGAGGCUGUAUUUUUUUUUCUGCAGAAAACCUAUUCGAUGCGCCAACGUCUCAUGUCUUCACCACCUGUAAAAGCAAGGUCACCGUGGGGACGUGGCCAAAGUCUGACAUGGCAGCCCUCAGCUGAUGCAAAAACAGAAGAGGUGGAGCCACCAUGUCAGCCCACAUGGCUCCUCUGUGAAAUUAGAAAAGACAUCUCCGAGGGGAGAAGGAAAACCCAUGGGAAACCCACAUCUCCCCUUAGCAGACAAAGCCCUGUAGGUACAUGACUUAGUGAGGAGACAGUGCUUUGUGUAGAGACAAAGUGAACUUGCCCCAGAUGGCUGAAGCCUAGUAGUGCCCAUGGCUAGGUGAACGGAGCAUGAGCUAGAAUUCAGCAUUUAUUUACCUUGCCAGCCCUGAGCCUUUGUACAGCACAUAAUCCACCCAAUUGCAGCAGCAGCACCAUCUAGAAAACACCAAAGGAGUGACUCCCAGCAGGAGCUGGCCUGAGUCCAUAGGAAGAGCGGGCCCUUCCCCAUUCUCCUUAACACCUUGGCCCUUCAGUUUACCUAACAGUGGCUCAAUGCCACCUUUGGGCCCUCUCUUUUGCCCCUCUUUUCUCCACCCCCACACAUUCUGUUGGCCAGGAUGUUGUCAUGUGGCUCCACCAGGCUACAGAGGAAGCUUGGAAUUGUAGUCUUGCGGGGUGACCAGGAGGACAAAGAAACUGGAUUUCUUGGCCAGAGGGCAUUGUCUCUGCCACUGUGCACUCACCUGUUCACAUCUGUCCAUACAUUUCCACUAUGACCUUCACACAGAAAGCGCAGACCUCACACUGAGUGAAACUCCGAAGACCAUCAGUGACUGCAACCAGCUCCCCAGCUCAAUCUCGGCGAUGCUGUGUAGUCCUCUUCACCAGGUCCAGAUGUGGUUCGCUGUGAUCUGGUGACCAGUGAACUAGAAGCAAGUUAUCUGUCCACACUGCUCUCCACACAUUGGUGGAGUAGGAACAGGAAAUCAGAACUCCCAUUCAGUAAAGGGAAGAAUGGAAGAAGAGUUCUUGCUCACAGCAAUUCUGCUGUUUCUUGAUUUGAUCUGAUUCUAGUCUCUGGGCAACACAGCCUUGUCUGUCCUCCCACCUGGCACAUCUGAACUAGACAUAGACUAGGAGGGUCCCUUUGGAGGCUCCACAGCUUCAGGACCCUGAUUCCUCCUGGAGUGAGUUUAAAGGCUUUAAGUUGUUUGACAGCUUCACUAGUCAAAGAUUUUUUUUUUCUUUUCUUUUAAAUGCAAGUUUGUGGUUUCUCUGACAAAGGUAGUAGCUCUUCUCUUCUAUUUGUGCGUAGUCAGUGUUAUAUAUCAGGGACCACACUCAUGUCCUUCCCAGACAUAUUUCUCUAACCUGAUUUCGAUCUUUGCUUCCUUGUAUCUCCCAGUCUGCCUGCCUCUCUGCCUCCAUCUCUCUUCUUCCCUCUCCUUGGUGAAUGGCACACCUCACAUCUUCCCACAUUCCCGCCUUCAUUGGGCACUCACAUGGUCCAUUUAACUGCAACAAAGCCUGGAAAAUAAGGUGCCAUUAUGUGUCCAAAAGGAAACAAAAACGGGGUUGGAAUCUAUGUCCGUAUUUCUUCUUCAUGCAGCCUGGGAGUCAGUUAUCCUGAUGGGCGUCCUCUACUCAAAGCACAUAUUUGGAGUGAGGUGAGAAAGAAGAGGGGUAUUGUUUCUCGAAGAAACUAGGAUUCGAAACAAAUAGAUUUCAACCUGGAUAGAGGUUAAAUACUUUGAGGGGCAGACAAACCUAAAAUGAAACCUUGACUUCAACAUUUGUGAGCUCGGUUACAAGAAAGUUACGGGAACUUUCUGGGCCUCAGUUGUCUCUCAGGAAAGUGGAGGUAAUAACUUCCUUCGUAGACUGUUGUAAACGUAUAUAAUGUUUGUCACAGUUCCAUGCAAGAGGAACCCUCAGUCUAUGAUAGUGUACAGGGUACAAGCCUCCGUCUAUGUAUUCAGUUGUGCAAGAAAUUUAACUUUAUUUUCCUAUAUCUGAACUUAACGUCUGUGUUAAAUCCGCCUUUAUCUCUGAUGAUGGAAACGUCAUCUCAGCCAAUUCAUAGCCUCCCCCCGGGUCCUGUAUAAGUUCCAGGGAGCUCAUAUGAUUUCGGGAUGGCCGCGUGAGAGGUUAGGGGUCUGUCUUCCCGUGUUGUUUUUUGUCUGUGGUGGCAUCCACUGUGAUGAUGUUGCAUAUUGUUCAGUCUUCGUUCUGUGUGAGUCAUAGACAUGCCCUCCCCUGUGCCCACCACCAAGGAUCUGAGAUCUGCCAAUGCCAUGUGUCAUGUCUGAGGUACUUGACCGGGCACAGAAAACACUGUAUUGGCCACAUCAUCCUGGGACCCCAGAAACCUCGGUGAGGUUGCCUUGGACCUGUCUGUCUUGAUUCAUUGCAGCAAUACACCUGCUGCUCUCAUACCUUCUUGGCUUAUGGACUUUUACAGGCUUCCCACCACCUGGCAAUGAGGCUCAGGUCUGUUUUGCUCUUGGUUCCCCAAUCUUAUCGGAAGAUUCCGUCAUUCAGCACUGACCAACUCCCUGACUCCCAUGACUCCAUUCGGGAGAAAGGUCCCAGUAGCAUCUAAGAUUGAGCUGCUCAAUACAGUCGCCACACAUGAUCAUUCAAAUUUAAAUUGGGUAAAAUAUGCUAAAUUUGUAAUACUAGCCACAUCUCAAGUGCUCAGCAGCCAUCAGUGACUGGUGGCUACUAUGCUGGAGAGCAUAGUGUUUAUGACAGACCACUGCCAUCAUCCUAGAAAGUUCUGUUGGACAGCAUUGGUCUAUGAUCUCUCCCUUGUAUGCCCCCCCCACCCCGCCCCACCCUCACCUCAGACUCUAUAACUGACCUGGAGUGGAAGCCUUGCUUUCACAUGCCCUUAUAAUCUCGCACUCACCUUGCCGCACAUCUAGGUCUAGGGUUUGAAACUCAGAAGCCGAGAACUGACUCUUUUUUGUUCUUCGUGUUCUGCUGCAUCAUCUCUUCCCUCAGGCACAGAGGAUGAGGUGCCUAUAUUACCAACAGGGUUGUUGAACUGAUCCAGUUUCCUGGAACCUAGAGGAUUCCUGGGACAUGAGACCUUGAGUUUGAAAACCAGGAAAGUCCCAGACAAUCCAAGACAAGGUGGUCACUGUGGUUACAAAGAACAGGUUACCGAGGACUAGGGGAAAAAAUGCCAGUCUUUAUAUCUCAAAGUUAUUUCAAGUCUGUAGCUAAUAUUAAUCUGAUGAGGAUUCCACUCUAACCUCCAAAGUUAGACUUGGGUAUUCCAUUUCUUCUUCUCUUUCUAGACACUUUCCUGAUCCCCUCUCUCCUGCCCCUCUCCCUCCCUAGCCCUGUGACUGGCAUGGAUUUCACUGGUUCCACCUGUAUAUAUUAGACAUACAUCUUCAGAUCCCCUUUCCUCUUGCCCACCUCACUAGGGAAACUGUUUGAGUGUCUGAUAUUUUGCCCUUUUUGGAAAACUAUUGAUCCUGAGGUCGUGGGAAGAGUGAGCCAUGUAAAAGAUUUCUGUAGGGCAAACAGCAAGGGCCAGCUCCAAAGAACCCCUUGGGGCAUUAAAGUAAGGCUUUCAGUGCAUUUGGCCCAUUUCAGACUCACAUAGUGACAGUUUCAAACACAGAAGCUGCUGUAGCUCAGCUGUAAGAAAAGAGACUGCCAGGAACUUCUGUCACUCGCAUGCUGACGGCCUUGUCCCCUUCCAUCCUCUCCCUGACAUUUUCAUGCCCUGGCUUAUUAGUUCGUGUGAACUGUCUAAAAAUACCUUGCUAGCAGCAGCUCAGAGAGCUGAAGAAGGAAAAGGUGUGAUUUGGUAAAACCAUGAAUGUUCUUCUUUCACCAGUUCCUUCCCUCAGCAAGAUGCAGACGUAAGGAGAUACCAGCUUCAGUUGCAUCAGGUGCACAGAUCCAGGAGUAUGAUGUCCUCUGCUCCUGGAAAGUCUCUCCCAGCACCAACCUUAGCCUGUAAGGUCUAGGGCCAGUACAACCUCAUCCAGGAAGCUGCUCAUGACUUGCCCUGCCAAACAGUUCGUCCCAACUACCCAAAUGACAGAAGGUUAGAAAAAUAAAGGCUUAUUAUAUAACUUCAUGCCAGACUUGAAUCAAAAUUUUGAAGAAGGGUAUAGAAAAUAGGUAUUCCAAAUACAUCUUUAAAAAAAAAUAUAUUGGAGUCUAGCUGACUUACAGUGUUGUGAUAGUUCCAGGUGUUCAGCCAAGUGAAUCAAUUAUACCUAUAUCUAUACCAUUCCUUUUCAAACUAUGUUCUCACAGAGGUUGUUACAGAGUACUGAGUUGAGUCCCCUGUGCCAUACAGUAGGUUUUUGUGACUUACCUAUUUUAUAUAUAGUAGUAUGCAUACGUCAAUCCCAACUUCCUAAUUUAUCCCUCCCCCGAACGUUUCCCUUUUGGUAACCCUAAGUGUGGUUUCAAAACUGUUGAGUCUGUUUCUAUUUUGUGAAUAAGUUCUUUUGAAUGAUUUUGAUUAGAUUCCACGUGUUAAUGAUCUCAUGUGAUAUUCGCCUUUCUCCAUCUGACUUAUUUCACUUAGUCUGAUAAUUUCUCAGCCCAUCCAUGUUGCUGCAAAUGACAUUAUUUUAUUCUUUUUAUGGCUGAGUACUAUUCCAUUGCAUGUACGUACCACAUCUUUAUCCAUUCCUCUGUUGGUGGACAUUCAGGUUGUUUCCACAUCUUGGCUAUUGCAAAUUGUGCUGCAGUGAACAUUGAGGUGCGUGUAUCUUUUUUAGUUAGAGUUUUCUCUGGGUAGAUGCCCAGGACUGGGGUUGCUGGAUCAUAUGGUAGUUCUAUAUUUCGUUUUUUAAGGAACCUCCAUAUUGAUCUCCAUAGUGUUCUCUUUACACUGCCACUAAUGGUGUAGCAGGGUCCCCUUUACGCUACACCCUCUCCAGCAUUUAUUGUUUAUAGACUUUUUGAUGAUGGCCAUUCUGACUGGUGUGAGGUGAUAUCUCAUUGUAGUUUUGAUUUGCAUUUCUCUAAUAACUAGUGAUAUUGAGUAUCUUUUCAUGUGCUUCUGGCCAUCUGUCUGUCUUCUUUGGAGAAACGUCUUUUUAGAUCUUCUGACCAUUUUUUUGAUUGGAUUUUUUGCUUAUAUAAAGCUGCAUGAGGAGUUCCUGUCACAGCUCAGCAGUUAGUGAACCCACCUAACAUCCAUGAGGACACAGGUUCAAUCCCUGGCCUCCGUUCAGUGGGCUAAGGAUCCGGUGUUGUCGUGAGCUGUAGUGUAGGUUGCAGACGCAACUCGGAUCCCGUAUUGCUGUGGCUCUGGCAUAGGCUGGCAGCUACAGCUCCGAUUAGAGCCCUAGCCUGGGAACCUUCAUAUGCUACAGGCGCAGCCCUAAAAAAACAAAAGACGGAUUUCCCAUCGUGGCGCAGUGGUUAACGAAUCCGACUAGGAACCAUGAGGUUGCGGGUUUGAUCCCUGGCCUUGCUCAGUGGGUUAAGCAUCCGGCGUUGCCAUGAGCUGUGGUAUAGGUCAAAGAUGCGGCUCGGAUCCCACAUUGCUGUGGCUCUGGCAUAGGCUGGCAGCUAUGGCUCCGAUUUGACCCCUAGCCUGGGAACCUCCAUAUGCUGCAGGAGCGGCCCAAGAAAUGGCAAAAAG
rnacentral:lncRNA from 1 species